UACGUAGGGGGCAAGCGUUGUCCGGAAUUAUUGGGCGUAAAGAGCGUGUAGGCGGUCCGGUAAGUCAGCUGUGAAAGUCAAGGGCUCAACCCUUGAAAGCCGGUUGAUACUGUCGGGCUAGAGUCCGGAAGAGGCGAGUGGAAUUCCCGGUGUAGCGGUGAAAUGCGCAGAUAUCAGGAGGAACACCAAUGGCGAAGGCAGCUCGCUGGAACGGUACUGACGCUGAGGCGCGAAAGCGUGGGGAGCAAACAGG
rnacentral:rRNA from 1 species